rnacentral:rRNA from 1 species
GACGAACGCUGGCGGCGUGCCUAAUACAUGCAAGUAGGACGCAGUUGCGAACGGGUGAGUAACGCGUAGGUAACUACCUAUAAUAGGGCGAUAACUAUUGGAUACGAUCGCUAAUACCGCAUAUUAGUAGAUUCACCUUCGUUGUAUUAGCUAGUAGGUAGGGUAAUGGCCUACCUGGGCAACGAUACAUAGCCGACCUGAGAGGGUGAUCGGCCACACUGGGACUGAGACACGGCCCAGACUCCUACGGGAGGCAGCCGUAGGGAAUCUUCGGCAAUGGGGGGAAGCCUGAACGAGCAACGCCGCGUGAGUGAAGAAGGUUUUCGGAUAGUAAAGCUCUGUUGUUAAGGAAGCGGUACUUAACAAGAAAGGGACAGCUAACUACGUGCCAGCCGCCGCGGUAAUAC